GGACCGGUAGCUGAGUUGGUUCUAGCGGCGGGCUCUUAAUCCGCGUCAUACCUGGGUUCAAAUCCCAGCCGGUUCUCCA
rnacentral:tRNA from 1 species